rnacentral:rRNA from 1 species
AGUGAACGCUGGCGGUAGGCCUGACACAUGCAAGUCGAACGGCAGCACAGUAAGAGCUUGCUCUUACGGGUGGCGAGUGGCGGACGGGUGAGGAAUACAUCGGAAUCUACUUUUUCGUGGGGGAUAACGUAGAGAAACUUACGCUAAUACCGCAUACGACCUACGGGUGAAAGCAGGGGAUCUUCGGACCUUGCGCGAUUCAAUGAGCCGAUGUCGGAUUAGCUAGUUGGCGGGGUAAAGGCCCACCAAGGCGACGAUCCGUAGCUGGUCUGAGAGGAUGAUCGGCCACACUGUAACUGAGACACGGUCCAGACUCCUACGGGAGGCAGCAGUGGGGAAUAUUGGACAAUGGGCGCAAGCCUGAUCCAGCCAUACCGCGUGGGUGAAGAAGGCCCUCGGGUUGUAAAGCCCUUUUGUUGGGAAAGAAAAGCAGCAGGUUAAUACCCCGCUGUUCUGACGUUACCCAAAGAAUAAGCACCGGCUAACUUCGUG